rnacentral:rRNA from 1 species
UACGUAUGGUGCAAGCGUUAUCCGGAUUUACUGGGUGUAAAGGGAGCGCAGGCGGAAGGCUAAGUCUGAUGUGAAAGCCCGGGGCUCAACCCCGGUACUGCAUUGGAAACUGGUCAUCUAGAGUGUCGGAGGGGUAAGUGGAAUUCCUAGUGUAGCGGUGAAAUGCGUAGAUACUAGGAGGAACACCAGUGGCGAAGGCGGCUUACUGGACGAUAACUGACGCUGAGGCUCGAAAGCGUGGGGAGCAAACAGG